rnacentral:rRNA from 1 species
AGUGAACGCUGGCGGUAGGCCUAACACAUGCAAGUCGAACGGCAGCACAGUAAGAGCUUGCUCUUACGGGUGGCGAGUGGCGGACGGGUGAGGAAUACAUCGGAAUCUACUUUUUCGUGGGGGAUAACGUAGGGAAACUUACGCUAAUACCGCAUACGACCUACGGGUGAAAGCAGGGGAUCUUCGGACCUUGCGCGAUUGAAUGAGCCGAUGUCGGAUUAGCUAGUUGGCGGGGUAAAGGCCCACCAAGGCGACGAUCCGUAGCUGGUCUGAGAGGAUGAUCAGCCACCCUGGAACUGAGACACGGUCCAGACUCCUACGGGAGGCAGCAGUGGGGAAUAUUGGACAAUGGGCGCAAGCCUGAUCCAGCCAUACCGCGUGGGUGAAGAAGGCCUUCGGGUUGUAAAGCCCUUUUGUUGGGAAAGAAAAGCAGCAGGUUAAUACCCCGCUGUUCUGACGGUACCCAAAGAAUAAGCACCGGCGAACUUCGG